AUGCGAUCCGGCUGCUUGGCCGGUAGCCUGCCACGCGGGGGCGGGACCCCGAGUCGAGCGGGAGCGGCCCGGCGGUUAGGUACCAGAGUGGGCGCUUCCGUCGUCCUGCACCGCCGGGACUCAGGAAGACCUGGAAUAAAAGCAUGCUGAUGCCAGGCUGUUUGUGCCAUGAGUAUCAAGGCCAUUGAUCAUUGGUUGGUAUCUUCUACCAUUAAAAUAGUUAGACUCACUCAUUAGCAUGCAAUGAAGAAUUGAGCUUCCUUUGCUUACAACUGAGAUUUUCUAACAAAAUUUCUCCUGCACCCUCUUAGACAGUACAUGUGAAAACAUCUGUACUAGGUUCUCAAGUUAAUGUGAUACCAUAA
rnacentral:lncRNA from 1 species